rnacentral:rRNA from 1 species
UACGUAGGGGGCUAGCGUUAUCCGGAAUUACUGGGCGUAAAGGGUGCGUAGGUGGUUUCUUAAGUCAGAGGUGAAAGGCUACGGCUCAACCGUAGUAAGCCUCUGAGACUGGGAAACUUGAGUGCAGGAGAGGAGAGUGGAAUUCCUAGUGUAGCGGUGAAAUGCGUAGAUAUUAGGAGGAACACCAGUUGCGAAGGCGGCUCUCUGGACUGUAACUGACACUGAGGCACGAAAGCGUGGGGAGCAAACAGG